GAUGAACGCUGGCGGCGUGCUUAACACAUGCAAGUCGAACGGUGAAGCAGGAGCUUGCUCUUGUGGAUCAGUGGCGAACGGGUGAGUAACACGUGAGCAACCUGCCCCUGACUCUGGGAUAAGCGCUGGAAACGGCGUCUAAUACUGGAUAUGUGAUGUGACCGCAUGGUCUGCAUCUGGAAAGAAUUUCGGUUGGGGAUGGGCUCGCGGCCUAUCAGCUUGUUGGUGAGGUAAUGGCUCCCCAAGGCGUCGACGGGUAGCCGGCCGGGGAGGUUGACCGGCCACAAUGGGGCUAAGACGCGGCCCAGGUGCCUAGUGGGGGCAGCAGGGGGGAAUAUUGUACAAUGGGCGGAAGCGUGAUGCAGCAACGCCGCGUGAGGGAGGACGGCCUUCGGGUUGUAAACCUCUUUUAGCGGGGAAGAAGCGAAAGUGACGGUACCGCAGAAAAAGCACCGGCUAACUACGUGCCAUCCGCCGCCAUAA
rnacentral:rRNA from 1 species